AUGAGAGAACUUGCUGCUACCUCCGUCCUCUCAGCACAACUCUGUUCGAAGACUUCCGUCCAGACCGGCCUCAACCGAAGCUCCUUUAUGUCGUUCAUCGCUCAUAACACUCCCUCCGCCUGUUUAUGUCGCUGUUUAAUUCCUCCAUCCAUUUCAGCUCCAUUUAACAACAACAAUAACUCACUAUCACUGCUCAAGUGGAUGCAAGAUUGA